UGGGGAAUAUUGGACAAUGGGGGCAACCCUGAUCCAGCAAUGCCGCGUGUGUGAAGAAGGCCUGCGGGUUGUAAAGCACUUUUGGCAGGGAUGAAAAGCACUGGAUUAAUAACCCAGUGUGUUGACCUAACCUGCAGAAGAAGCACCGGCUAACUCUGUGCCAGCAGCCGCGGUAAUACAGGGGGGUGCGAGCGUUAAUCGGAAUUACUGGGCGUAAAGGGCGCGUAGGCGGUCGAGUAAGUCGGAUGUGAAAUCCCCGGGCUUAACCUGGGAAUUGCAUUCGAUACUGCUUGGCUAGAGUGUGGAAGAGGGAAGCGGAAUUUCCGGUGUAGCGGUGAAAUGCGUAGAUAUCGGAAGGAACACCAGUGGCGAAGGCGGCUUCCUGGUCCAACACUGACGCUGAGGCGCGAAAGCGUGGGGAGCAAACAGGAUUAGAUACCCAAGUAGUCCCUGAGCGGGCUGGCAAGGCGCAU
rnacentral:rRNA from 1 species